AUGCUCUUGCAGCCUCCUUUCCUUGCCUGCACAGCACGCUGCUUCCAGAUGGGUGACUUAUGUAACUCUGUAGGAGACACCAAGUUGAGGUCUGAGGCAUGCAGAGGAAACACAAGAAGAAAUCAACCAAGAGAAGAGAGGAGAGGAAGCCUCAGGGUAGCCAAGAACGUCACUCUUGCUGCAAUCCUCAGCCCUCAUUCCUUUCUGACCCCUACAAGGACUGACAGCUUUCUUUUGGGAGAAUAGCUGCUGUCCUUUGCCAUUCCUGAGCUGGCAUUACUCACCAAUCUCUGGGCAAGGAUUCCAAGCCAAACACCACAUCCAGUGGUUUCUGUCUGGAGAGGAUAUGAGUCUUCCACAUUCAGCUGUAGUGAAGAAGAUUAUAAUAAAAUAAAAAAGAAUAAAAGAUUGCGUUGUUAC
rnacentral:lncRNA from 1 species